ACGUGAGUAACCUGCCCCUGACUUCGGGAUAAGCCCGGGAAACUGGGUCUAAUACCGGAUACGACUGCCGGACGCAUGUCUGGUGGUGGAAAGUUUUUUCGGUUGGGGAUGGGCUCGCGGCCUAUCAGUUUGUUGGUGAGGUAAUGGCUCACCAAGACGACGACGGGUAGCCGGCCUGAGAGGGCGACCGGCCAAACUGGGACUGAGACACGGCCCAGACUUCUACGGGAGGCAGCAGUGGGGAAUAUUGCACAAUGGGCGAAACCCUGAUGCAGCCACGCAGCGUGCGGGAUGACGGGCUUCGGGGUGUAAACCGCUUUCAGCAGGGAAGAAGCGCAAGUGACGGUACCUGCAGAAGAAGUACCGGCUAACUACGUGCCAGCAGCCGCGGUAAUACGUAGGGUACGAGCGUUGUCCGGAAUUAUUGGGCGUAAAGAGCUCGUAGGUGGUUGGUCACGUCUGCUGUGGAAACGCAACGCUUAACGUUGCGCGUGCAGUGGGUACGGGCUGACUAGAGUGCAGUAGGGGAGUCUGGAAUUCCUGGUGUAGCGGUGAAAUGCGCAGAUAUCAGGAGGAACACCGGUGGCGAAGGCGGGACUCUGGGCUGUAACUGACACUGAGGAGCGAAAGCAUGGGGAGCGAACAGGAUUAGAUACCCUGGUAGUCCAUGCCGUAAACGUUGGGCACUAGGUGUGGGGGGCAUUCCACGUUCUCCGCGCCGUAGCUAACGCAUUAAGUGCCCCGCCUGGGGAGUACGGUCGCAAGGCUAAAACUCAAAGGAAUUGACGGGGGCCCGCACAAGCGGCGGAGCAUGCGGAUUAAUUCGAUGCAACGCGAAGAACCUUACCAAGGCUUGACAUACACCGGACCGUCCUGGAAACAGGUCUUCUUCUUUGAAGCUGGUGUACAGGUGGUGCAUGGUUGUCGUCAGCUCGUGUCGUGAGAUGUUGGGUUAAGUCCCGCAACGAGCGCAACCCUCGUUCUAUGUUGCCAGCAUGUGAUGGUGGGAACUCAUAGGAGACUGCCGGGGUCAACUCGGAGGAAGGUGGGGAUGACGUCAAAUCAUCAUGCCCUUUAUGUCUUGGGCUUCACGCAUGCUACAAUGGCUGGUACAGAGAGAGGCGAACCCGUGAGGGCAAGCGAAUCCCUUAAAGCCAGUCU
rnacentral:rRNA from 1 species